UACGUAGGGGGCAAGCGUUAUCCGGAUUUACUGGGUGUAAAGGGAGCGUAGACGGCAGUGCAAGUCUGGAGUGAAAGGCGGGGGCUCAACCCCCGGACUGCUCUGGAAACUGUACGGCUGGAGUGCAGGAGAGGUAAGUGGAAUUCCUAGUGUAGCGGUGAGAUGCGUAGAUAUUAGGAGGAACACCAGUGGCGAAGGCGGCUUACUGGACUGUAACUGACGUUGAGGCUCGAAAGCGUGGGGAGCAAACAGG
rnacentral:rRNA from 1 species